UACAGAGGUCUCAAGCGUUUGUUCGGAUUCAUUGGGCGUAAAGGGUGCGUAGGUGGCGCCGUAAGUCAGGUGUGAAAUUUCGGAGCUUAACUCCGAAACUGCAUUUGAUACUGCGGUGCUUGAGGACUGGAGAGGAGACUGGAAUUUACGGUGUAGCAGUGAAAUGCGUAGAGAUCGUAAGGAAGACCAGUGGCGAAGGCGGGGUCGUCUGGACAGUUCCUGACACUGAGGCACGAAGGCCAGGGGAGCAAACGGG
rnacentral:rRNA from 1 species